rnacentral:lncRNA from 1 species
AUGGAUCAGAAGACAAAUGAGGUGUGUAAAACUCUGAUAUGCAAACUGCUUCUUUCAUUCUGGCAUUGUUUAAUACGGGCAUCCAUCUCUCCAGAAUCCCAACUCCACCUCCCCUCAGAAGCACAUGAAGAACAGGUCCAAAUCAACAGAGGAGAUGCAACACUCGAAGAAGGCCUUUUCCUCACAAAAAUCCCUCCCAGGCCGACCAGAGCUGGACAGAGUGAAGGAGUGUCCUGAUGGCUCUGACACGCCCCCGUCCUCCACUGAAGAAGAGAAGUGAUAAAUAAAAGGAUCACUGGGACAAUAGAGCUGCCAUCAAGCAACAACAUCAUCAUACAACAACAUGACACGUACAUUAAAAUGUACAUAUGCAAACAAAGAAACAUAGAAAAUAUUGAGGAUAACAGUGAACUAAAUUAGAAAAUAUACAAGUGGCGAACAGAUGAUUGGUUGAAAGAAACUGUUGAAAAUAAUGGUUACUUGAACGCACGCAUGCACACACACACACGCACGCACGCACGCACGCACGCACACACCCACACACACACCCACACACACACAUACACACACACACACACACACACACACAAUCUGAGACAAUCGCAUGCAAACAAAAGGACACCCAUGAUGAUGCUGUUUCAUUGUACUGUACUCUGAGAGUCAUUAACAUACCAGACUGAACAAGUAUUGACAAUAAAGUGAUUUCUCAUCUAUUCUCAUUCACACCAGUAAUCAAAUUCCUCCUCCGCCUGCAAAUACCAGAUGUAAUGACAA